ensembl:lncRNA
CAUCCCCAUCUCUCACUAGGACCUCAUUUCUGAUUAAAUCAAUGAACUUGACACUGUCCAGGUGAAGAUGAUGUUAUCUGCUGUAGCUGGCUGCUCUACUUAGACAUUAGGAAUGGUUACUGAAUAUCCGGGUCCAAAGAAUCUUUCCGGGCCUACUUCUGAGUGUAAGGGAAUGGGCAAGGGAUAGUCAGUAACUAGGCUUCAGAGAUAGUGGAAGUAAAUGUAUACCUAGGGAAAGGAUCGUCCCUCAAAGUUUCCCCAGCAGAGUUUCGUAAAGAUUCCAGGGACCUUGUAGUCACCCUCGAUUUUCUGAAUUACAGAAUGAGUUUCCAACCCUUGAAUUCCUAACCCACUUGCUUGCCCAACCGGUUUCAGGAUAGACAUGAGCUGUUCAUUUUAGCAGAGGCAAGAUACAUCGAGCAUCAAUGUCCAGAGGAGCUGUGAGUUCGGUUAGGCCAGCGGCGAUUGAGUAAUUCUCUCUCUGACACUCACCUUGAUCCUCCUCUUCUCUAGUCGACACUUCUGGGGUUUGAGUAAAAAAGUCAGUCGGAGCUCCUCGGAGACCUUUCCCUGCCUUGCUUGCCAAGGAAGUGAAAGAAGAGAGAGAGAGAGAGAGAGAGAGAGAGAGAGAGAGAGAGAGAGAGAGAGAGAGAGAGAGAGAGAGAGAGAGAGAGAGAGAGUGUGUGUGUGUGUGUGUGUGUGUGUGUGUGUGUGUGUGUGCAGGUGUGUGUGGGGGGGUGAGAGGGGGAGCACGGCAGUGGCGGCGGCUGUGUAAGACCGAGGUUUAAAUAAGCCAGCCCCACUACCUUGACCUCUCAUUUCUGACACUCUUCCCUUACUCUCAUCCCUCACCUCCUCCCAUCCCCAAAGCUACUUUUUCGGAGGAGUGGUUAAUGGGUGCAGGUUUUGGAAUGAAAACUGCUUCCCCCCCCCCCCGCGCCAAUGCUUAAUCCCUCCCAGUAAAUUCUUAGAAGAAGGCUGUGCAGAGACCAAGGAAGGGUUAAGCCCGGCUGGCCUGGCUCUGCUUGGCAGAGACGUCCAGGACCUGUUUCACUGCAGGGGGAUAAAAAACAAGCCCUGUGGAUCAGCAACAGCAGCAGCAAGCAGCAACAGCCGCCGCAAGACAUUGUUUCUCUCCCUCUGCCCCCCUUCCCCAAGCAACCCCAGAUCCAUUUACACUUUACACUGCAUCACAAGGCAAGCCAGCAGGGUGGUCCAUUCGAACUUUGGAUUUAUUCAUGGUCUUUGUACAGCAGCCCCUUCUCCCAUCAUCACUACUGGGAAGUGUACUAUAAAUCAGGCUGCCUGGAAGCUGGGCAAAAUGACUAUGCCAGCAUUUUGUAUCUUACAACUUUCUCAGAACUUUCUUUUAUCCAACAACAGACAGCUACAAAUAUACAAUAUAAAAAUAACAUACUAAUUCUACUUGUUGACAAUAUAGUAAUCAUAGAAAUAAAUGUCGUUCAUAUUGUUGUAAUAUGAAAUGA